GGGGUCAUAGCUCAAUUGGGAGAGCAGUAGACUGAAGAGAUCAUGAGAUUGUAUUCUAAAGGUCCCGCGUUCGAUCCGCGGUGACCCCA